CCUACGGGGGCAGCAGUGGGGGAUAUUGCACAAUGGGGGAAACCCUGAUGCAGCGACGCCGCGUGUGGGAAGACGGUCCUCUGGAUUGUAAACCACUGUCCCCAGGGACGAAGAUGACGGUACCUGGGGAGGAAGCUCCGGCUAACUACGUGCCAGCAGCCGCGGUAAUACGUAGGGAGCGAGCGUUGUCCGGAAUUACUGGGUGUAAAGGGAGCGUAGGCGGGACUGCAAGUUGGGUGUCAAAUCUACCGGCUCAACCGGUAGCCGCACUCAAAACUGCAGUUCUUGAGUGAAGUAGAGGCAGGCGGAAUUCCUAGUGUAGCGGUGAAAUGCGUAGAUAUUAGGAAGAACACCAGUGGCGAAGGCGGCUUUCUGGACUGAAACUGACGCUGAGGCACGAAAGCGUGGGGAGCGAACAGGAUUAGAUACCCUUGUAGUC
rnacentral:rRNA from 1 species